rnacentral:lncRNA from 1 species
CCGCACGUGCGGGUUCCCAUUGCAUGGCCUCCAACAUGCUCUGUUGAUGACCGAAUCCCUCUUCAGCACGAAUAUCAUUACAGGCUUGGCAUUCUAUUAACAGGCGUUCACAUCCUCAAUUCGGCUAUUAGUACCACAACAGUGGCAAAACCGCUGCCCCCUGGGGACGUGGUACUUGCCCCUUCAUGCUCUGUUUGCCUCCAAAGCCCAGCAACAUAAACGAAACUGCAUUACCUUACUAUAUGCUAAACGAGGAAUGAAACCUUAGCAUGUGUUGCCACAUNNNNNNNNNNNNNNNNNNNNNNNNNNNNNNNNNNNNNNNNNNNNNNNNNNGCUACAUGGCAAUAUAAUUUUCCGAUGACAAUCUGGAUGCACCUAUUUAUUAAAGAAUCAAUAAUUUGGCCUAAGAAUGUAAAAGAACACCCCUAAGAAUGUAAGAGAAUACAGAAGGCUGCUGGCCCUAAAGAAUGCUAAAGAAUGGUAAAAUAGUGGUUUUAUUUCAUAAGAAUGAGACUUAAGAAUGGGUGCCAUACUUAGCAAACCCUAUGGUAAGAAUGGUUAAAACCCGCCAAAGAGCAGCUAAGUAUGCUUUAGGCAAAGAAUCAAUAAGUUGGCCUAAGAAUGUAUAAGAACACCCAAAGAACGAAAAGAAUACAUAAGACUGCUGACCCUAAAGAAUGGUAAAGAAUCGUAGAGAAUGGUAAAGAGUGGUUUUAUUUCUUAAGAAUGAGACUUAAGAAUGGGUGCCAUACUUAGCAAACCUAUGGUAAGAAUGGUUAAAACCGGCCAGAGAGCAGCUAAGUAUGCUUUAGAGAAAGAAUCACUAAGUACGUAUAAGAACACCCCAAAGAAUGGAAGAGAAUACAUAAGACUGCUGGGACCUGAAGAAUGCUAAAGAAUUUGAAAGAACGGUUUUAAGAUAAACGGAGGUCAUACGAACGUUCUUAGAACGUUCUUAGAACGAUGUAAGAACGUUCUACUGAUUAUUCGAUUUUAUCAAUUUGGCUGGGCUAAGAACGACUUAAGAACGUUCUUAACCCCCCUCCGUGUUCGUAGGGCACGCACGAAGUAGUGUCCAUUCUGGCGGCCAGUUGACAUUUCGCAAUGCCAUACACACACAUACAUACACAUACAUACACACCGAGCGGAUGCAGGCGAUUGAGAACUGAAUACUGUAGCAACUGCCGUACAGUAUAACACAUGUACAUCAGCAAAGUGCAUGCAUGCACUUUUUUCACAAGCUCCUGUCCGAAACCAUGCCACUGUUGGAUGCAGGAGUCGUCUGUUCGACUCCUGCAAAGUACAACACGGGUGCAGGGUAAAUGGAGAUCAGGAUGUAACUUUCCCUCAGCAUCAACCAUGGAUCAUCACAUCGUAAUAGAGUAUAUGCAUGUAGCUGUCGCUGACUGGCAACCCUAAGUUAACAGAGUCUGAUGAAUUCGAACCUGAUGAUGAUAUGGGUGCUGAACCAUAAAUCAUCAGGUGGUGUGGAUGCUAGACCUUGAAAAGUCACUGGUGUGGAUGCUAGACCUUGGAAAGUCACUGGAAGUCAGCAAGAACGUUGGCAUGGCUGACAAGGAUGAGGAUGCCUCAAAACAUUGGCGAAGGUACAGGGACUGCCAGGCGAGUAGUCAAAGAUGACGCUUUGACUUCCCUCUUCAGCUGUUUGAUACGAUUAUUAAUGUACAUUCCCCUAGGCCUGGNNNNNNNNNNNNNNNNNNNNNNNNNNNNNNNNNNNNNNNNNNNNNNNNNNUGCAUAGCGCAGCAUAGCAUAGCAUAGCGCAGCAUAGCAUAGCAUACCAUAGCAUAGCGCAGCAUUGCAUAGCAUAGCAUAGCACUUGCUGGACAGCAGGUUCGAGUCCUGCGAUGGUUUUCACGUUUCCAUGUUUUCAUGCUUUCUUGUUUUUGUUACUGAACGCAUAUGCUUGCACAUCGCAUAUGCUUGCAGAUCGCAUAUGCUUGCGGAUCACAUAUGCUUGCAGAGCACAUAUGCUUGCACAUCGCAUAUGCUUGCACAUCGCACAUGCUUGCAGAUCGCAUACGCUUGCAUAUCCCAUAUGCUUGCAGAGCGCAUAUGCUUGCAGAUUGCAUAUGCUUGCACAUCGCAUAUGCUUGCAGAUCACAUAUGCUUGCAUACUGCAUAUGCUUGCAGAUAGCAUAGCAUAGCAUAGCAUAGCAUAGCAUAGCAUAGCAUAGCAUAGCAUAGCAUAGCAUAGCAUAGCAUAGCAUAGCAUAGCAUAGCAUAGCAUAGCACAGCAUAGCAUAGCAUAGCAUAGCAUAGCAUAUGCUUGCAGAUCGCAUAUGCUUGCAGAUCGCAUAUGCUUGUAGAUCGCAAAUGCUUGCAUAUGAGAUCACAUAUGCUUGCAGAUCGCAUAUGCUUGCAUAUGAGAUCGCAUAUGCUUGCAGGUCUCAUAAGCUUGCAUAUGAUAUCGCAUAUAUAUAACAUUAAAACAUAUUGCACCUUGCAUAAUGCAUAAUGCAUAUUGCAUACCACAUAUCGCAUAUCGCAUAUCGCAUAUCACAGCAUAUCACAUAUCGCUGCAUGAUCGCAUAUCGCUGCAUAUCACAUAUCGCUGCAUAUUGCAUAUCGCUGCAUACAUAACGCAUAUUGCUGCAUACACAUACAUAUCGCAUAUCGCUGCAUACAUAUCGCAUAUCGCUGCAUACAUAUGGCAUAUCGCUGCAUACACAUACAUAUCGCACAACGCUGCAUAUCGCAUAGCACACACAUCGUUGCAUACAUAUCGCAUAUCAUUGCAUAUCGCAUAUCGCUGCAUAUCGCAUAUUACAUUACAUAAUAUCGCACAUAUGCAUAUAUGCAAAAACGCAAAUAUGAAACAUAAAACAUUACUUUGCUCGGGAUCGAACCGGCGACCUCCCAUUCUUUUUGGCGCGGUCUUAAGCGCGUACGGCACGCUCCCGACCCGGAAUUUCCAAAACGCUCCGGACAGACAACCGGACAACCGGACAGCGAACUCCGGAUAGGCCUCCGCUCAUAACAUAUGAGCUACGGCGAUCGAACUCGGGAUAGGCCUCCGCUCAUAACAUAUGAGCUACGGCGACCGAGUAGAGCCUUUGCCCUAAGGAUGAACCUAUGGCAUAAUGUAACAAUAAUAAUGGCCAUGAAUAUCGCCCAACAUGCAAUAAGGGAUGAAAGUGUCGAGGACAGCUAAUUAUCUUCAGAAUUGUGUUAUGUUAUAUAUGUGUAUGCAGCCCCUAUCUAGAGAUGUGUAGAGUUUUUGAAUCCCUAUAUGUAUUGCCUGUCUGUUCUGAAACCGACUUUGAGCAUGUGAUUUUGGCGUUGUCUACCAUCCCUUCUUUCCUGGAGCCCACUUCAGAUAUGCUCUGGCACAUGUCUUGUACUGUACAAGUUGUACUCUGUUUUGGCUUGGAUUCAAUGACAGCAAGGUUCAUCCCAUGGAUUUGAAGUGUCAUCAUAAUGUGCUGAGUGGGAAUUGAGCCUGCGACAUCACAACCACCAAUCCUCUAUCACAAUGAUAAACUUUUACAACUCCCCCCCUUGGACUUCAAUGUUGUCCAGAAUGUAACAUAUACAUAAAAGUACUUCAUGCUCUGUUUGCCUCCAAAGCCCAGCAACAUAAACGAAACUGCAUUACCUUACUAUAUGCUAAACAAGG